AAUACAUAGUUGGGAAUAGGUGCAGAAAUGCAUAAUAGAGAAGUCGGUGUAAGUCCGACACGAUCCCGUCACUGUAAGGCUGAGCGAAUCUCAUUUAAGUCACUGGGUAACACUGGGAAGGCGAGAGGAGCGGUGAAGCUAAGUCAGGAGAACUGCCUAUUCAUCAUUCACCAU
rnacentral:ncRNA from 2 species